rnacentral:rRNA from 1 species
UAGGGAAUUUUCGUCAAUGGGGGCAACCCUGAACGAGCAAUGCCGCGUGAGCGAAGAAGGUCUUCGGAUUGUAAAGCUCUGUUGCCGGGGAAAAAAGGAAGGAAAGAGGAAAAU